UGUGAACUGACAAGCCCAUGGAUGUCUACAAAGAGUGAACUGAUCACUGUGGGCUGGCCUUUGAGGCAUCAGUGAGGCAUUGUGGCUCUGGAGACCUGGAAGCACUGCUAACUGUUCUCUCGAUUUUCUGACGCUCGGCCACAUCAACCUGUCAUACUAGUUGUGAGGAGAAGUCAAGGACAGUGACACAGCCAGCCAGUCUGAGGCAUUUUCCAUCAUCCUGAAGGAGUUGCCCUAUCCUGCUUUUCACUGGAGGGGGCAUGGAUGGGGGCUCCUGACACACUGACCUCUGUCAGUUCCUUCAGCACACCAGGCUAAUCCCCAGUCUUGCGCCUUUGGACCAGAGGUUUUCUUUGCUCAGAAUACUGUUUCAACAGAUCUUUGCAUAGCUGGCUCUCGCUAUUUGACUAAAAUGUCAAUCCUCAGAGAGGUACUCCUUAAAUAUCCAAUCUUAAGUAGCAUCCCUUUCUCCCAGGAUCCUGUUUUUCAGAACUCUGUUUUCUUUUUAAAACACUUGUUAUCUGAAAGGAUGUCGUCUGCUUGCUUGUUUGUUCAUUUCUUUAUUGUCUAUUCCAUCUCACCCCUUCUCAGGAUGUAAGCUGUUUAAAGGCAAGGACCUUAUCUGUGUUACAUGCUGUAUUCCCAGGGCUCAGACAGAGCAUGACCUAU
rnacentral:lncRNA from 10 species